rnacentral:rRNA from 1 species
GAUGAACGCUGGCGGCGUGCCUAAUACAUGCAAGUCGAGCGAACAGACGAGGAGCUUGCUCCUCUGACGUUAGCGGCGGACGGGUGAGUAACACGUGGAUAACCUACCUAUAAGACUGGGAUAACUUCGGGAAACCGGAGCUAAUACCGGAUAAUAUAUUGAACCGCAUUGUUCAAUAGUGAAAGACGGUUUUGCUGUCACUUAUAGAUGGAUCCGCGCCGCAUUAGCUAGUUGGUAAGGUAACGGCUUACCAAGGCAACGAUGCGUAGCCUACCUGAGAGAGUGGUCCGCCACACUGGAACUGAGACAAGGACCAGACUCCUACGAGAGGCAGCAGUAGGGAAUCUUCCGCAAUGGGCGAAAGCCUGACGGAGCAACGCCGCGUGAGAGAUGCAGGUCUUCGGAUCGUAAAACUCUGUUAUUAGGGAAGAACAAAUGUGUAAGUAACUAUGCACGUCUUGACGGUACCUAAUCAGAAAGCCACGGCUAACUACGUG